CAAAGAGUGAAGCUAGCCGGAUGCUUAAGGAAUCAACCGAGGCAGAUUAUCGACAUGGUGAGUAUUUACACAUUUAAUACACUGCUGUUAGAUACUGAACUAAUUUCACCUUUUGUGUUUAGCUAGCUUUCAACCUUACAAACACUCUCUGUUAUCUGACUGGAAUUUCGCUAGAAACACUCUGUUAGCUGACUGGAAUUCCGCUAGUUCUCAUCAGCGUUUCCAUUGCUAAUGUUAUCUGUUAGUGCUGUAUGAUAUAACUUAGGUUAUGAUUCAUUUCACCCGUUGUUUUAUGUUGUCGUAUCGAUGUAUUUAGCCAUCUAGCUACGUUACAAACACUACCUUAUCUGACUGGUAGUUCGCUAUAUUAAGGGGGCUUUUACGAGGGCUAUGAAUGAAUGAGAAUGAGAAUGUUUGGACUGUGAAUCAGUAUUUUCUAUCGAUCGUUUAAAUUCAGAUGUAUAAACGAAUAUAUUGGGAGGUAGUCAUAUGAAUACAGUCUCUUUUACACAUGUUUAGGUAGCUACUCUCACUGUUGAUGUCAUGGAAUUUCACUCGUUCUCAUCAGCAAAGCAUUUGCUAAUGUUAUCUGUUAGUUAUAUGUAGUGUGGUUAAUUCAUGAGCUGUGUUUCAAACACUAUGUGGCUUUUGCCACCACUGUGUUUUUCAUAGGGUUAUUAAUAUAACAAGGAAGAUGCUCUGCUCUUCAUGUACUUUUAUGUUUAUGUACAUUUAUGUUAUUGUCAUGCAUUAAAAACAAUGUGUAUGCAUAUGUCACCAAAGGCAACAUCUUUCAAGUCACACAAGGUGAUGGCAGACACAGAGUUGAUUACCAUUGGCAGGAAGGUAACACACCUACCCAGUUUAUUUGGAGUUGCUGUUGCUGCCUGCCUCUUUAGUUCAUAUCAAGGGAACUAAUUGAAUGUGUGCGUGCGUGUGUCUGUGCGUGCGUGUCUGUGUGUGCGUGUCUGUGUGUACAGGUGUCAAACCCCCGUAUCGGGGUGGAGUCGUUGCUAGUGACGGUCAUCAGAAAAGCGCCAGCCCAGCAGAAGGCAGGGAGAGCCAGAGUCUGGCCGGGGAAGUGCUUCAGACUCUAGACAGAGAAGGCCUACAAGACUAUAAAUUUGGAAAUUCCUCGUGGGGGAGAGCUGCGCGUAAUCGGAGUGCUACUUGGGAGCGUUCCUGGUGGACGGACCAGCGCAGAACCGUCUCCACGCUUGAAAGUGACAAAGCGGGUCCCUGCCACACUGGCCGGUAGCGACUUGCUGUCUGGAUUGUAUACUGGAUUGGGAUGACUCCUCUUUGGUGUAGGGUUGAUCUAUUGCAGUGUUUUUUUUUCUGUGGAUUCUAUAUGUGGGGCGUGGUUUAAGUAUUGCAAACUGAUAAUACCUUUUGGGGAGAAGGCAUGUAUCUUGCUUUUGUGUGGACAUUGUGUGGGGGUUUUCAUGUUCGACAUGGUUGGCCAUUAGUGGGGUUUAUGCCUAUUGCCUAG
ensembl:lncRNA